rnacentral:rRNA from 1 species
UACGGAGGGUGCGAGCGUUGUCCGGAAUCACUGGGCGUAAAGGGCGCGUAGGUGGCGCGGGCAGUCAACGGUGAAAGUUCGGGGCUCAACCCUGAAUCGGCCGUCGAUACUCCCGGGCUUGAGCACUGUAGAGGCAGAUGGAAUUCCGGGUGUAGCGGUGGAAUGCGUAGAGAUCCGGAAGAACACCGGUGGCGAAGGCGGUCUGCUGGGCAGUAGCUGACACUGAGGCGCGACAGCGUGGGGAGCGAACAGG